rnacentral:rRNA from 1 species
CUACGGGCCGCACCAGUGAGGAAUCUUGCCCCCUUUUUUUAACCCUGAUUCAUCCCCGCCUCUUUUCUUAUGACGCAUUUCGGUGUGUAAACUCCUUUUAUAUGUCAAGAAAAUGACUUUAUCCUCUUCCCAAGCACCGGCUAACUCCGUGCCAGCAGCCGCGGUAAUACGGAGGGUGCAAGCGUUACUCGGAAUCACUGGGCGUAAAGGACGCGUAGGCGGGUUGGAAAGUCAGGUGUGAAAUCCUACAGCUUAACUGUAGAACUGCACUUGAAACUUCUGAUCUAGAGUAUGGGAGGGGGAGAUGGAAUUAGUGGUGUAGGGGUAAAAUCCGUAGAUAUCACUAGGAAUACCUAAAGCGAAGGCGAUCUCCUGGAACAUUACUGACGCUAAGGCGUGAAAGCGUGGGGAGCAAACAGGAUUAGAUACCCUCGUAGUC